UUGGGAGUCUGAGAUUCUGUUACUCCCAGAGAGACUUCUUUCCCUUUCCUGCAUCUUUUCCUUUACGCAGACUUUACUCUUUUGCGGGUUAGACACUCGCCCCCCACCUCCACCCCCACCCCCCUACGUCUUGCCUUUUUAUUUGGUUUUAGUUGUGUUCUUUAGGAGAAUUCCAGCCUCCGGGGGGAUUUUUUUUUUUUUCUCUAGCAGAUCCCCACCAGCCUCCCAUCUUGGCUGUCUGGAGGAGACCAGCUUAUCAUUGCCGGGAUGGAGCAGGACAGCUCUCGGGAAUCCCCAUCGCAGGAACGUUCUUCCUUGCCGGGAGAGCCGCCUUCCUCUGCCCUCGGACAGUCCUUCUCCCAGGUUUUGCGCCGGCUUACCAGCCAGGAGUCCCGACGGGGCAAGACCAGAAGUGCAGCACUUCAGGACCUCGGUGCUCUAAUAGAAGCCGCAGAAUGUGAUCAGUUAUUUGAGGGAAGUGGCACAUCGCUCCGCGGAAUGCCCGAGAUUCUGGGGCAGGUGGCAAAAGUCCUGGAGAAGUAUGCAGCCCCACCCAAGGAGCAGGAAGGUAGAGGUCAUGCUAACGCUGAAGUGGCCGAGAAAGCGGCAGCGGUUGGGUUACUAAUUCUUAAACUAUUGGGGAAAGUUGAGGCGGCCAAGAAUUCCUUGCUUUGUCCUACAUGGAAGAUAGGCCUGCGUCACUUGGCAGGACCCAUCUAUAUUUUCGCGGUCACGCACAGCUUGGAGCAGCCAUGGACCAGCCCAAGAUCCCACGAAGUUGCUGGAGAGGUGCUCUCCUUACUCCUUCGAGUUACUCAGUGUAGUUCUGUGGCAGGAUUUCUGCACGGAGAAAAUGAAGAUGAGAAAGGGAGAUUUACGGUAAUAAUGGAGCUUCUCAAACCCGACUUGAAUAAGGAGUCCUGGAAGAAAAACCCUGCCACCAAGCAUGUUUUCUCAUGGACUCUGCAACAGGUCACCCGACCCUGGCUGAACCAGCAUCUGGAAAGGAUCCUUCCCCCAUCACUGCUCAUCUCGGAUGACUAUCAGACCGAGAACAAAAUACUGGGUGUACACUGUGUCCAUCACAUUGUGCUGAAUGUGGUAAGCAGCCUCUGCACUCUGUCAUCUGUGGAUGGGACAGACCGAGUCAUCAUGCCAGCUGCUGAUUUGCUCCAGUAUAACAGAGCGCAGGUCCUAUACCAUGCCCUUUUCAACCACCUGUACACACCAGAGUACAACCUCAUUCAGGUAAUGGCUGUGCUCCUGUGUCUGCUGGAUUUAUUCCCCAUCCUGGAGAAAGGCCUGCACUGGAAGGGAGGUGCUGCUCGACCCACCACGCAAUGUGAUGAGGUCCUGCAGUUGAUCCUGACACACAUGGAGCCAGAGCACCGCCUUCUCUUACGCAGGACCUACGCGAGAAACCUCCCUGCAUUUGUGAAGAGGUUGGGGAUCCUAACUGUCCGGCACUUAAAGAGGCUGGAGCGAGUCAUCGUUGGUUAUCUAGAGGUUUAUGAUGGACCAGAGGAGGAGGCUAGACUGAAGAUACUGGAAACUCUAAGACUUCUCAUGCAGUAUGCAUGGCCCAGAGUUUCCUGUAGACUUGUGGUGUUACUGAAGGCUCUCCUGAAAUUGAUAUGCGAUGUAGCAAGGGAUCCAAACCUUACACCUGAGCCUGUUAAGAACACCUUAUUAGAGGAAGCCACAGAUUGUCUGAUUCUCCUGGACCACUGUUCUCAAGGACAGGUGAAGGGUCUCCUGGUCAAAACUCUCCAAAGCUGUGAAGACAGCAAGGUGGUGAACUGUAUCAGGAAAGUGCGGCAGGUGUCUGAAGGCGCAUCCUACGACGGAACUUAAAUUUGUCUUACUUUCCGAAAGCAGGAAGGCUUUUCUUCUUGUUUUGACUGUGUAAAUGGAAUUAUUUAAGAAAAAAGAAUCUGAAGAGUCACUCUCUGCCUCCUGCUGUUCCAGGGCCUUGUCGAAGGCAUGAAUGGGGAAGUUGUAGAUGUCACCAUACUGAGGAAACAGAACACACAUCGGCUGUAAUGGCAUCUCAAUCUUACACUUGAAGUCCACUGUCCAAUAAGCAUAUUCCUCAGUGAUUAAAUGAGAAUAUUUGA